rnacentral:lncRNA from 1 species
AUGUUUUUGCAGACCUUCAGGGUCCUGUGGUGUGACUGCUGCGCAGGUCUCAGUGGACCACCAGGGGAGACGGACCCUGAAGAUGCGAUCAACCCCGAGAGGUAACCAGGAGAACCUAGACAGAAGCAUCCCAAAGGAGACACAAGUAUGCCAGCGGUAUCCCAGAGCAGAGCGGGGACAGCAGAGUCUUCGCCAAGUCGAAAAACUGGCCCACAAGCAGCAAAGUGAACUUCUGCCAGAAACUCUCCGGUACAGCUCGACACCUACAUUAAUGCGCUUCUGUUUACAUACAUGCAAAAGAAAACCGAACAAACUGCUGGCAACGGAGAGCACGUGGAUGGAGUAAAAUGUGUUGUUAUUAAGUAUUCCUAGAAAGCAAGGGUUCAAAUAAAUAAGGUUCUCCGCAUUUCUUGUCA